rnacentral:rRNA from 1 species
AGAGUUUGAUCCUGGCUCAGAAUCAACGCUGGCGGCGUGCCUAACACAUGCAAGUCGAACGCGAAAGGGGCUUCGGUCCUGAGUAGCGUGGCGAACGGGUGAGUAACACGUGGGUGAUCUACCUUCGAGUGGGGGAUAACGUUCCGAAAGGAACGCUAAUACCGCAUGACGUUCUGGGUUUAAAGACCUGGAAACCAAAGCCGGGGACCGCAAGGCCUGGCGCUUGAAGAGGAGCCCGCGUCCGAUUAGCUAGUUGGCGGGGUAAUGGCCCACCAAGGCGACGAUCGGUAGCCGGCCUGAGAGGGCGGACGGCCACACUGGAACUGAGACACGGUCCAGACUCCUACGGGAGGCAGCAGUGGGGAAUUGUUCACAAUGGGCGCAAGCCUGAUGACGCAACGCCGCGUGGGGGAUGAAGGUCUUCGGAUCGUAAACCCCUGUCGAACGGGACGAAAGACUCGGGAGCUAAUCAUCUCGAGAGUGACGGUACCGUUAAAGGAAGCCACGGCUAACUCUGUGCCAGCAGCCGCGGUAAUACAGAGGUGGCAAGCGUUGUUCGGAAUUACUGGGCGUAAAGGGCGCGUAGGCGGCCUUCUAAGUCAGACGUG